GAGUCCAUAGCUCAGCUGGAUAGAGUAUUUGACUAUGAAUCAAGAGGCCGCAGUUUCGAAGCCUGCCGGGCUCGCCA
rnacentral:tRNA from 1 species